rnacentral:rRNA from 1 species
GACGAACGCUGGCGGCGUGCUUAACACAUGCAAGUCGAACGGAAAGGCCCUGCUUUUGUGGGGUGCUCGAUUGGCGAACGGGUGAGUAACACGUGAGUAACCUGCCCUUGACUUUGGGAUAACUUCAGGAAACUGGGGCUAAUACCGGAUAGGAGCUCCUGCUGCAUGGUGGGGGUUGGAAAGUUUCGGCGGUUGGGGCUGGACUCGCGGCUUAUCAGCUUGUUGGUGGGGUAGUGGCUUACCAAGGGUGUGACGGGUAGCCGGCAUGGGAGGGGAGACGGGCACAAUGGUACUGAGGUACGGAGCAGUAUCGAAUGGGAGGCAGUGGGGGGGAGUAUUGCACAAUGGGCGGGAGCGUGAUGCAGCAGCGCCGCGUGCGGGAUGACGGCCUUCGGGUGGUAAACCGAUUUCGAAGGUGACGAAGAGUGAGUGACGGUAAUGGGUAAAGAAGCACCGGCUAACUACGUG